ensembl:lncRNA
AUGUGGCCAUCGCUUCCUUGGUUCUUUGGUCUUUGGACUCUGGGACUUGCAUCAGAAGACCUCCAGCCUUGGACUGAAACUUUCACCACCAGCUUCCCUGGUUCUGAGGCUUUCAGACCUGAACUGAGCCAUGCUACUGGCUUUCUUGGUUCUCCACCUUACAUAUGGCCUAUCAUGGGAUUUCUCAGCCUUCAUAAUCAAGUGGAAGCUGUUCCUAGGCUGAUUUGCAGCAUUGGAGGGCAGGCAGCCACAGCUGAAGGGACCAAAGACACGCGAGACCCGGGGAUUUCUGUGUGUUGGGCAGAAGACAAUGAAGAGAUGGAAGGGAAGGACUGGACCUUGGAAAAGAAUUCCUUGACUUUGAUGAUUACAAAUGAGACACAAGAGGAGAAUGUAUGCACAGAGCUCCCAAGAAGGAUAGAGGUUCUUCUACGGCACCCAAAGUAA